rnacentral:rRNA from 1 species
AUGGGGAUGAGGUUGGAAGACCCAACAGCGUCGGUGAAAAAACAUGCUUUUAAUGCUUCAAGCAUACUAUUGCAGACUUGGAGUGAAAUGUUCCUGCACAUGCUCUUUUCUCUAAGAAGGCAUAUUUCCUUGCUUGACGAAGGUUGCAUCUCUACAUGGAAGCAACGGACCUGCUGUGGUAGUAGUAGAGCGGCCGGUGACGCCGUGGAAGGGAGAGGAGUGGCCGAUGACGCCGUGGAGAGGAGGGAACACGGAGGUGUGAGAGCAAGGUGCGUGGGAGGCAACAAUGAGAAGCCGUGGUGGGCAGAGCAGCCGCGGAAUGAGUUGUGGGUCGUUGAAAAGGAAUUUCUAGACAAGGGUCCCAAGGAAAUGUUGUUGGACUCGGCCAUAAAUUCACCCGAUCCUGCCCCAAUCACUAUCAUGCCCACGGACCAACGUGAAUUACUUGCCGGCCUUUGCAACUGCAUCAUGCCGGUCGAUGAUGUUGGGUGUUUGGACCUAUGGACAAUGAUUACUUCAACACCGCCGUGUGCCGCCGUGUGUAUACUGGCAUGUGACGAUGGAGUAUUGUUCACAGACCCUCCUAUACACUACAUGGAUCUAAGAUUUUGUUCCAUGAUGCUAGAGUCAACACGAGGUCAGAAGUUUUGCGAGAAGGAAACUAUCCAGACGUUGGCAACAUUAUUUGAUAGCUGGCCUGGGAUGGACAAGACCAUCUCAUCGUGCAACAUGCUCUAG